rnacentral:piRNA from 1 species
UCGGGGUAACUCAUGGACAGACUCAGGA